AACCGGAAGCGGAAGCGCCGCGUUUCUCAGAGUUUGAAUGUCUUGUGUUGUGUGAGCGAGUGAGUUGAUUGUUGUGAGAAUGUUUGGUGACUGUUUGUUGUUUGUUUGUGUAUACUUCUGUUUUAAAAAACCUACACACUGAUCUUAUUUGAUCUGGUCUGAGUUUGGCUCUGCUCUGAUCGGAGAUGAUAGGAAAAGCGCCUGCAAGCUUUCGUAGCGAUGAGCAAGUCGGCGAGAUUCAACUUGUAGGGCCUCCACGCUUCGUGCUGUGGUCAGAGGUGAUGAAUUGAUCAGAUAUACUAGUUCUGGCUGAGCUUGGGUUCAUCUCGAGUUUCACAAUGGACAAUGAGUACAGAGGCGAUUCUGAUCUAA